AAAAACCUGACUUUCAUGGAAAACGUGAAUACAAUAAUAAGAUCAUGCCUUAAGUCAGUUCCGCAUUUUCUUGUUUUCUUGUUGCAGCGGAAGACAUCACAAAUUUUCUUGAGUUCAUUAGGGAAAAAUUCCCAGACAUGACGAUCACACCAGAACUCCAUUUGCUAGAAGGACAUGUUUGCCCUUUUCUUCGACAAUGGCACAUGAGCCUUGGAUUCUAAGGUGAAGAAGGAUUUGAAGGAAUACACUCUGAAUUUUAAUACCCAGUCCCAGCAUUUUGACCAUGUGGGGAAAAAGGACACGAGAUUACGUUAAAUCCUUGUCAACCACUACAUUGCCACGAGUGCGGAACUGACGGGGAAAGUUCCCAAACUUAAAACGAAAAACCAGGGAAUAAAACUCUUUCCUUUUCACUAGCAAUGUAUCGGUUCGUUGACUAAGAACGAGUACUAUGCAGACACUGUGAGAUCAUCACCCGACGGAAAAUGAACACAUUCAAAUGGAUACAAAACCGGUGUCAUCGAGUUUCGAGACUGAAAACCUGAAGUAUUAUUAUCUAUACAACCGCUCUUCAUUCUUCUCCAUACCCUGUAGAUUCUGGACCAGAACUACAAGUUGAACAGUAGGUCACGGUGUUUAUAGUGGUCGUCUUCACCACAGUGUGACAACUGUUGUCUUUGGGAGCCUUCUUGAACAGCUGGUGCUCUGAGAUAGGAGACAGAAAAAAAGACAACUCACAAAUCAGAAAAUAGCAAAUGACCAACAGCAACAGGACUACAGCUAAUGGAACACCAACAGCAGCACCAAUGAUUGCGGCUCUCGAAGGACGAUCAGCCACCGGGGUCUUCUGAUAUGCAGUGCGCAUGCUCAAUGAGGCGGUUACUUGGCUUGUGGGAGACGGCACCAAUACCAGUGAUACUGUGUGGUUUGUUUCCACAGAGCUGACUGAGCUGAAAUUUGUACGAGUUAUAACUUUGCUGCAUACGUGUGAUCUGUGAAAACUGCACCGCUUGUUUUCAAGCAUUUCUUGGCACUGCGGCUCGACUAGAUCAUCUUGAUCAUCACAACAGCGGGAGCAGGGCUGGCACAAUUGUGUUAGGCGGUCAUCUUGGUAAGCGCCAGGCUUACACUUUCCACACACUGCCUUGGAAGUCAGAGUGCAGGCUUUUAUGGUUUCGCGAUACUCCUCACAAUUCUCACAGCUCAUGCAUGCCCCGGCGUCUUUUCCAGAGGAGUACGUUUUCCCAAGCACACAUGGCUCGCAAACUACGGGUGUCUCUGGGCUUUGAACAGAACUGCAUUGCACAGAGAGGCCUCGUCCUUGGGGGCAUUUAACACAGGCCUGACACUUGACCGCUCCGCUGGUAGAGUUGUAUAUCGCAAUACUGUCACCGUGACAAGGGGAUACGAACUUGGAAAAAGACAUCUGGGAAUGAUCAAUGAAUAUUGAUCAAGGAAUGUUUACAACAAAUACUAAAACUAUUGGUGCGCAAAAGACAACCCUUUCAAUGACAUGCAAUGCAAGGUACAUAUUUUAAAUGAUAGCAGCGAGUUUACUGAACAUUUAAAAUUUUGACUACCCUUCUCCCACUCGUUCAGCGUGUAUCUUCCCACCUAACAGUAAACCAAAAAAUUGCAUUCGAGCAUACACCCUUUCAAUAACAGCUCCCAGUGGCGCUCCUAGUUUUGUUGUGCAAUAGACCGUACUUUAUUUCGGUUUACAGGCGGAAAAACCCACUUAGAAUGUUGGGAGAACGUUGAAUGUUCUCCCAACAUUCCAAGUGGGUUAAACCGAUAAAAUGGUGGUUUAUUCUUUUACGAAAUAAACUGAAAAGCAAAAUACCGUAUGUUUCAGUUUCCCCUAGGUCUGCUUGUGCAAUAAACGAUAGGUGUUUGAUCUAUGAGGGGGCUCGUAGUAUCUAGAGUGAUAGUGCUAUAGAGUGAUGUUAAGGACUUUUAAUGAGGUGGAACACUUUACAGCCUCCGUUAUGUCUUGUUCCAGUUCCGCUCGUGUUAUUGGUUCAAAUUUUGUUCUAGAGAUCAAAAUUAAUCGAAUUUACCAUAACGUUUAUUUAAAGACAAAAUCAGAAGCGUUUCUUGAUCGGAAAGGCUGAACAUCACUUCCGAACGUUUUUUAUGGACAGUCAUUAUUUAUUGUCUUCUUCCUGUUAUCGAGGUUGCUAAGCUCAAUGGCGCAUUUCCGGUGGUCACUGACUCCGGAAAAACUGAAAGCCUCUCUUUUUAUUUGCCGCCUGUGUAUUUAAAGCACGAUAUCAAUGGCUUCGAAAAUCAAGCAGUGAAAAAUAUUUUUAAAAAAAAGACGGAAUAAACUGGCCAACACCCGUUAUACUGUUGUUAAGAUAUAAACUUUACAAAUGCCUUCAAGCCCAUAAAGCAAACAGGAGUUUUCAAUGAGAGGCGGGUUGCAGGAUUUCUAAGCAACGCUUAGUGCCACUGUUGACUCGCAAUAUUUGCUUGAGGCCGCGCUUAAACCCUGUCAAGGUCUGGGUCGUUUGAAAAUUAAGCCACAAUUAAUGUUUUUUUCGGAAAUGUAUUCCCUGUAGAAUUAGAUAAAACCAGAAUUUACCAUGAGC